rnacentral:lncRNA from 1 species
UGCUGGAGGUGGAGCGUGGUGCACACACAGGGACUGUUGAAUUGGCGAGCAGAGGUUGGUCCUAAAUCCAUGCUCGACCGUGACAGACCAAUGACAAGAAUCCAUGUACACUGUGUCUGGAAUAGAGACUGCUGGACACUGCAGUCCGUGUGAAAUGAUGGUCUUACACGGUCAACAAGGUGGUCUCUCUCCGGAUUUUUCUGGAUUGCUUUUUUUCUAUUUUGUUUUAGGUUUUUCCAGGGUCCAGGUUGCUUUUUCUAGG